AAAGGGAGACCUAAUUCAGGUAAGAGACGAAAAAAAAGUAGUCGCUACCAAGAAUCAAUCCCAAAAGGUCGGAGCGAGGCGAAAUUGGCUUUCAAACUAGGUUCUGGGUUCAAACAAGACCUGAAUCAGGAACAAGGGCUAUUAGCUCAGGUGGUUAGAGCGCACCCCUGAUAAGGGUGAGGUCCCUGGUUCGAGUCCAGGAUGGCCCACCUGCACAGGUGGCAAAAACAAGAGAAGCGAGGAAUCAGCACCUUAUCUUACUUAUAUAGUAAGAGAGAAUGCUGGCUCUGAGUAAAGAGUCCAGAGGAACCUUGAAAACUGCAUAGAGCUAGGUGAAAAAGCCAAAAAAGAAGACCGCAAG
rnacentral:tRNA from 1 species